AGUGAACGCUGGCGGUAGGCCUAACACAUGCAAGUCGAACGGCAGCACAGUAAGAGCUUGCUCUUACGGGUGGCGAGUGGCGGACGGGUGAGGAAUACAUCGGAAUCUACUUUUUCGUGGGGGAUAACGUAGGGAAACUUACGCUAAUACCGCAUACGACCUACGGGUGAAAGCAGGGGAUCUUCGGACCUUGCGCGAUUGAAUGAGCCGAUGUCGGAUUAGCUAGUUGGCGGGGUAAAGGCCCACCAAGGCGACGGUCCGUAGCUGGUCUGAGAGGAUGAUCAGCCACACUGGAACUGAGACACGGUCCAGACUCCUACGGGAGGCAGCAGUGGGGAAUAUUGGACAAUGGGCGCAAGCCUGAUCCAGCCAUACCGCGUGGGUGAAGAAGGCCUUCGGGUUGUAAAGCCCUGUUGUUGGGAAAGAAAAGCAGCAGGUUAAUACCCCGCUGUUCUGACGGUACCCAAAGAAUAAGCACCGGCUAACUUCGUG
rnacentral:rRNA from 1 species